ACCUACGGGAGGCAGCAGUGAGGAAUAUUGGUCAAUGGGCUUACGCCUGAACCAGCCAAGUCGCGUGAGGGAAGACUGCCCUAUGGGUUGUAAACCUCUUUUGUCAGGGAGCAACGCCGGCUACGUGUAGCCGGACUGAGAGUACCUGAAGAAAAAGCAUCGGCUAACUCCGUGCCAGCAGCCGCGGUAAUACGGAGGAUGCGAGCGUUAUCCGGAUUUAUUGGGUUUAAAGGGUGCGUAGGCGGAAUGCCAAGUCAGCGGUAAAAUCGCGGGGCUCAACCUCGCUCAGCCGUUGAAACUGGCGU
rnacentral:rRNA from 1 species